rnacentral:tRNA from 1 species
AUUUAUAUAGUUUAACUUAAAACAAUUCAUUUUCAAUGAAUAGAUAGGAAAAUCCUUAUGAAUA